AAUACAUGCAGUCGAGCGAAUGGAUUAAGAGCUUGCUCUUAUGAAGUUAGCGGCGGACGGGUGAGUAACACGUGGGUAACCUGCCCAUAAGACUGGGAUAACUCCGGGAAACCGGGGCUAAUACCGGAUAACAUUUUGAACCGCAUGGUUCGAAAUUGAAAGGCGGCUUCGGCUGUCACUUAUGGAUGGACCCGCGUCGCAUUAGCUGGUUGGUGAGGUAACGGCUCACCAAGGCAACGAUGCGUAGCCAACCUGAGAGGGUGAUCGGCCACACUGGGACUGAGACACGGCCCAGACUCCUACGGGAGGCAGCAGUAGGGAAUCUUCCGCAAUGGACGAAAGUCUGACGGAGCAACGCCGCGUGAGUGAUGAAGGCUUUCGGGUCGUAAACUCUGUUGUUAGGGAAGAACAAGUGCUAGUUGAAAAGCUGGCCCUUGACGGUACCUAACCAGAAGCCACGGCUAACUACGUGCCAGCAGCCGCGGUAUACGUACGUGGCAGCGUUUCCGGAAUUAUUGGGCGUAAGCGCGCGCGGUGGUUUCUAAGUCUGAUGUGAAACCCACGGCUCACCGUGGAGGGUCUUGGAACUGGGAGACUUGAGUGCAAAAAGGAAGUGGAUUCCUGUGUACGGUGAAUGCUAGAGAUAUGGGGAACCAGUGGCGAAGCGACUUCUGGUCUGUACUGAACUGAGCGCGAAGCGUGGGAGCAACAGGAUAGAUACCCGGUAGUCACGCCGUAACGAGAGUGCUAGUGUAGAGGUUCCGCCUUAGUGCUGAGUUACGCAUAGCACUCCCCUGGGAGUACGCCGCAGGCUGAACUCAAGGAUUGACGGGGCCGCACAGCGUGAUCAGUGGUUAUUCAAGCACGCGAGAACUUACAGGUCUGACUCUCUGAAACCUAGAAUAGGCUCUCUUCGGACAGAUGACAGUGUGCAGGUGUCUCACUCUGUCUGAAUGUGGGUAAUCCGCACGACGCACCUUAUCUAGUGC
rnacentral:rRNA from 1 species